AGCUAGUUGGUAGGGUAAAAGCCUACCAAGGCUGUGAUCGGUAGCCGGCCUGAGAGGGCACACGGCCACACUGGCACUGAAACACGGGCCAGACUCCUACGGGAGGCAGCAGUGGGGAAUCUUGCACAAUGGGGGAAACCCUGAUGCAGCGACGCCGCGUGAGUGAUGAAGCCCUUCGGGGUGUAAAGCUCUUUCGGCAGGAACGAUAAUGACGGUACCUGCAGAAGAAGCUGCGGCUAACUACGUGCCAGCAGCCGCGGUAAUACGUAGACAGCAAGCGUUGUUCGGAAUUACUGGGCGUAAAGAGUGUGUAGGCGGUUCUCUAAGUUCCGUGUGAAAUCUCCCGGCCCAACUGGGAGGGUGCGCGGGAAACUGGAGGGCUCGAGUAUGGGAGAGGAAAGCGGAAUUCCUGGUGUAGCGGUGAAAUGCGUAGAUAUCAGGAGGAACACCUGCGGUGUAGACAGCUUUCUGGACCAUCACUGACGCUGAGACACGAAAGCGUGGGUAGCAAACAGGAUUAGAUACCCUGGUAGU
rnacentral:rRNA from 1 species